GAUGAACGCUAGCGACAGGCUUAACACAUGCAAGUCGAGGGGCAGCAUGAGGUAGCAAUACCUUGAUGGCGACCGGCGCACGGGUGAGUAACGCGUAUGCAACCUGCCCGAUACCGGGGUAUAGCCCAUGGAAACGUGGAUUAACACCCCAUAGUACUUUUAUCCUGCAUGGGAUGUGAGUUAAAUGUUCAAGGUAUCGGAUGGGCAUGCCUACUAUUAGUUAGUUGGCGGGGUAACAGCCCACCAAGACGAUGAUAGGUAGGGGUUCUGAUAGGAAGAGCCCCCAACUAGGAACCUAGCCACGGUCCAACCUCCUGCUGGAGGCAGCAGUGAGAUAUAUUGGUCCAUGGACGUAAGUCUGAACCAGCCAAGGUGCGUGAGGGAAGACUGCCCUAUGGGUUGUAAACCUCUUUUAUAAGGGAAGAAUAAGUUCUACGUGUAAAAUGCUGGCGUUACCUUAUGAAUAAGCAUCGGCUAACUCCGUGCCCGCAGCCGCGGUAA
rnacentral:rRNA from 1 species